rnacentral:rRNA from 1 species
AUUGAACGCUGGCGGCAGGCCUAACACAUGCAAGUCGAGCGGAUGAAGGGAGCUUGCUCCUGGAUUCAGCGGCGGACGGGUGAGUAAUGCCUAGGAAUCUGCCUGGUAGUGGGGGAUAACGUCCGGAAACGGGCGCUAAUACCGCAUACGUCCUGAGGGAGAAAGUGGGGGAUCUUCGGACCUCACGCUAUCAGAUGAGCCUAGGUCGGAUUAGCUAGUUGGUGGGGUAAAGGCCUACCAAGGCGACGAUCCGUAACGGGUCUGAGAGGAUGAUCAGUCACACUGGAACUGAGACACGGUCCAGACUCCUACGGGAGGCAGCAGUGGGGAAUAUUGGACAAUGGGCGAAAGCCUGAUCCAGCCAUGCCGCGUGUGUGAAGAAGGUCUUCGGAUUGUAAAGCACUUUAAGUUGGGAGGAAGGGCAGUAAGUUAAUACCUUGCUGUUUUGACGUUACCAACAGAAUAAGCACCGGCUAACUUCGUG